rnacentral:rRNA from 1 species
CCUACGGGAGGCAGCAGUGAGGAAUAUUGGUCCAUGGGCGUAAGCCUGAACCAGCCAAGUCGCGUGAGGGAUGAAGGUUCUAUGGAUCGUAAACCUCUUUUAUAAGGGCAUAAAGUGUGGGACGUGUCCUAUUUUGUAUGUACCUUAUGAAUCAGGAUCUGCUAACUCCGUGCCAUCAGCCGCGGUAAUACGGAGGAUCCGAGCGUUAUCCGGCUUUAUUGGGUUUAAAGGGUGCGUAGGCGGCCUUUUAAGUCAGCGGUGAAAGUCUGUGGCUCAACCAUAGAAUUGCCGUUGACACUGGGGUGCUUGAGUAUGUUUGAGGCAGGCGGAAUGCGGGGUGUAGCGGUGAAAUGCUUAGAUAUCACGCAGAACCCCGAUUGCGAAGGCAGCCUGCCAAGCCAUGACUGACGCUGAUGCACGAAAGCGUGGGGAUCAAACAGGAUUAGAUACCCCUGUAGUC